CCGUGCGCGUAACCCUGCCCACCGGAACUAGCGGUGCACUUGACAAAGCCUUAAUUUCAUCUUAACAAUGGCUAUAGCGCGCGUUGCGACUGAAUAUGUGUUUUCUGAUUUUUUAUUGAAAGAACAGAGUGAAUCUAAGUAUAAAGGCGUGCGGCUGGAACUGGCCACAGACAAACUGGUCAGUUUUGUCGCGGUUGGGCUUCCUUUGUUACUCAUCUCACUCGCCUUUGCGCAAGAAGUCUCUGUGGGUACUCAGAUCACAUGUUUUCCACCCACUAACUUCACAUUGAGACAGGCUGCGUAUGUGGACUCCUUUUGCUGGGCCGCAGUGGAGCAUCACCCUACAGACAAUGGGGCUGAUAGCGCCCCCCUUCAUCUACACAAGUUCUUCCCUUAUAUCCUUCUGCUGGUCGCCGUCCUCCUGUAUAUUCCUGCUCUCUUCUGGCGUUUCACGGCUACCCCUUCCCUAUCCUCUGAUCUCAGUUUUAUCAUGGAGGAACUUGACCGUUGCUACAACCGUGCCAUCCGCCUGGCCAAGAGCCUCACAAUCAAACAAGACAAAGACAUUGCAGAAGACCCACACAGUGGUCUGGAACUGACUGAAGCUUGUUUUAAGUACCCUCUGGUAGAGCAGUACUUGAAGACAAAACGCUUAUCAUGGGCUUUGGCUGCAAAAUAUCUACUUUGUCGGGUUUUAACAUUCCUCACUUUACUGCUGGCCUGCUCUUAUCUGACCUACUACAUCCUUUGGGUUUCACCCAGUGAUCAAUUCUCCUGUAACCUGCGCAGAGGUAUUUUAGUUAACGAGAGUGUGGUGCCAGAUGCAGUUCAGUGUAAGCUGGUGGCAGUGGGUGUUUUUCGUCUCCUAAGUUGCAUGAAUCUGGUGGUGUAUUUACUGUUAGUGCCGGCUGUGGUUUACGCUGCCUUCCAACCUGCUCGCCAGCACCAGCGCGCUCAGUUCCUCCGUCCAUACCACCUACUGCCUGCUUUCGGACACGUGCUGGAUUUGCAGCCUACUACCCGGCGCUAUGAUGACCUCAGCAUCUACCUGCUGUUCUUGGAGGAAAACUUGAGUGAGCUUAAGAGCUACAAAUGUUUGCAGGUUUUAGAGCUGCUGUCGGACGGAGGGGAAGCCCCGUUUGACACCAUGUGUCUCCUCAGGACUCUAGGACAAGUGAGGACUGACAUGGUGGACAGAAAACAAGCCCAAACUGUCAAUGGAAAUGCAGAGAAAGAAAUCUCUGAUAUAAAGGAUGUCUCUUCUGUUUUGCUGGAUGAUGGAGUAAGCUGCAGCUGUGUGAAAGAUGUAAGACACAGGGUGGUCUAACAUAUUACACUAAUAGUGUACAUGUAUGUAAGCAUCUAUAAUCAUCAGGUAAAUCCGUUUUCAAAAGCUGUACUUCUGACAUAAACUGUUAAAGUCAGUCAAAUCACAUUGCAAAAAAAUGAUUUACAUGUAAAUUGAAUGUGAAGGUAAGAUUAUAUAAUGCUUGAAUAUUACACUGAGAUCAUUUACUAACUGCAAAACUGAGCUGCAUGUUUUCUAUGCUUGACAUGAACAGAAAUUAGAUGAAUGUUUUUUAUUACUUCAUCAAGUUAAUAUUUAUUAAGUUGAUGAAAUGUUGCUUAACAUUUGAAUGCAUUGUGAAAGAAAUGUUACAACAUAUAUUCUCGGGUGUCCUU